AAUUGUUGGUCAGUUGCCGCAACGGUACAAAAACAAGAACCCAAUUCAUUUAUAUACACAGAGAGCCAUUUAGAAGAGAUAUAUCAUAUUUGAGCGAACAAGCCAGAGAAAGAGAGGGGGAGAGAGAGAGAGAAUUGAGAGAGACAGAUAUGGGGAAUUCCUCUCUUUUCGUCUCUAGCUAAGUGCAAACCUUCUUGAGGUCCCUGAAUCAAUUAUUUUCCAACAUUUUCUUUCAGUUUUAAUAAUCAAAACAUUGUAACUAUCUUUUACGUGUGUUCCUUCCAGAUUGAAAAGAAUUCGAGGAAAGUAGUUACUAAAACACAUAGAUGGCGAUCAAAUGCCUUCGGUCGAGACUUCUAUUCCGAUUCCUGGAUCAUUGAGAGAUGGAAGAACUCGGCGCAAUCCGACACCAUCUUGGACGUUCUCCGCUUUUAGAAACCGUGGUGACCAAUCCAAUGACAAACACAAGGCUGGAAAGGUGUAAUUAUCUUCCUUUCUCUAUCUCUCAUUUUUUUAUUGACUUGAAGAUCUCAAAUAUACUGUUUGGUUGCCGAGAAAAUAUUGUGGAAGAAAAGCAAAGUUGUUCCUUCCUUGGUUUGCUUAAUUGAAAGGAAAACCAAAAAGAGAAAAUUCGAAUUAGUUUGUUUAAUUUCAUAAUUUUAUAGUAUAUACUCAAAUCCUGUUUGUUUAACUAAUAUUUGUUGUUCUGUCAAAUUCUUUGGGAAUUAAAGCAUCUUUGUUCGAACUACUUGAGCUAAUUAUAAGGCCGAACAGGUUGAAGAUUGUCAAAGAAACAUUUCUCUGAUUCUUCAAAAUAUCUAUCAUACGCACCUUUUUUUUUUUUUUUU